ACAAACUUGGUCAUUUAGAGGAAGUAAAAGUCAUAACAAGGUAUCUGUAGGUGAACCUGCAGAUGGAUCAUUAGUGAAUAACAAGGGGAUCCCACUCUGUGGGCCCCAACCCUAUCACCAAAUCCACACACCUGUGCACCGCUAGUGAUGACCGAUGUGCAAGCAUCUUGUCAUCGCCGGCACCCUUCACACACACACACAAAGUAACUGAAUGUCACUGUAACUACGCAAGUAGAAACAAAAUACAACUUUUGACAACGGAUCUCUUGGUUCUCCCAUCGAUGAAGAACGCAGC
rnacentral:misc_RNA from 1 species